rnacentral:rRNA from 1 species
GAUGAACGCUGGCGGCGUGCCUAAUACAUGCAAGUCGAGCGAACGGACGAGAAGCUUGCUUCUCUGAUGUUAGCGGCGGACGGGUGAGUAACACGUGGAUAACCUACCUAUAAGACUGGGAUAACUUCGGGAAACCGGAGCUAAUACCGGAUGAUAUUUUGAACCGCAUGGUUCAAAAGUGAAAGACGGUCUUGCUGUCACUUAUAGAUGGAUCCGCGCUGCAUUAGCUAGUUGGUAAGGUAACGGCUUACCAAGGCAACGAUGCAUAGCCGACCUGAGAGGGUGAUCGGCCACACUGGAACUGAGACACGGUCCAGACUCCUACGGGAGGCAGCAGUAGGGAAUCUUCCGCAAUGGGCGAAAGCCUGACGGAGCAACGCCGCGUGAGUGAUGAAGGUCUUCGGAUCGUAAAACUCUGUUAUUAGGGAAGAACAUAUGUGUAAGUAACUGUGCACAUCUUGACGGUACCUAAUCAGAAAGCCACGGCUAACUACGUU